rnacentral:rRNA from 1 species
GGACCCGCACAAGCGGUGGAGCAUGUGGUUUAAUUCGAAGCAACGCGAAGAACCUUACCAGGUCUUGACAUCCUUUGAAGCUUUUAGAGAUAGAAGUGUUCUCUUCGGAGACAAAGUGACAGGUGGUGCAUGGUCGUCGUCAGCUCGUGUCGUGAGAUGUUGGGUUAAGUCCCGCAACGAGCGCAACCCUUAUUGUUAGUUGCCAGCAUUCAGAUGGGCACUCUAGCGAGACUGCCGGUGACAAAACCCGGGAGGAAAGGGCGGGGG